rnacentral:lncRNA from 12 species
AUGCUGGAGGGUCGCCUUUCAGCCUUUUGUCCAUCUCUGUAUGUGAGCAGCUGCUGCUGCUGCCUGCACUGGCUUCCUUCUGUGCCAUCCCGCCCGCCCCUGCGCUCAGCCUCACCUUGCUGCACCCCCCUCUCCCCGGGCAGCCUCACCUUGCUGCACCUCUCUCUCCCAGGGUGGCCUCACCUUGCUGCACCCCUCUCUCCCUGGGUGGCCUCACCUUCCUGCACCUCUCUUCCCGGGCAGCCUCACCUUCCUGCACCCCUCUCUCCCUGGCCAGCCUCACCUUGCUGCACCCCUCUCUCCCUGGGCAGCCCUCACCUUGCUGCACCCCUCUCUCCCCGGGCAGCUUCACCUUGCUGCACCCCUCUCUCCCCGGGCAGCUUCACCUUGCUGCACCCCUCUCUCCCCGGGCAGCUUCACCUUGCUGCACCCCUCUCUCCCCGGGCAGCUUCACCUUGCUGCACCCCUCUCUCCCCGGGCGGCCUCACCUUCCUGCACCUCUCUCUCCCUGGGCAGCCUCACCUUGCUGUACCCCUCUCUCCCUGGGCAGCCUCACCUUGCUACACCCCUCUCUCCCUGGGCAGCCUCACCUUGCUGCACCCCUCUCUCCCUGGGCAACCUCACCUUGCUGCACCCCUCUCUCCCCGGACAGCCUGGCCUGUCUCCACGCCAGCGUCACACUCUGUCAUCAGCGCCCAGAGACCAGGUCUCAGCUAAGGGAUCCCUGUGUCUACGGGCACAGGAAGGCCCAUCUGCUGUGCUGUCCUCAGCAGCACGACCCCACUCCCUUGUGGCGCUGCGGAUGGGAAGGGAGUGGGCAGGAAGGCCGCUGCUUGCUGGAAAACUUACCAUCACCAAGAUCAGCCACACUGGCCAGGUGGGUGUAAGGUACAUAUGUUACUCUUCUACUACAAGUAGGUGAUUUUUUUUUUUUUUUUAAUUCUAAGGAGACAGCUGCUAGGGCUACUGUUGCACAUUAGCCUAUUCUUUUUUUUUUUUUUUAAGAUUUUAUUUAUCCAUCAAUGAGAGAGAGAGAGAGAGAGAGAGAAAGGCAGAGGGAGAAGCAGGCUCCAUGCAGGGAGCCCGACGUGGGACUCGAUCCCGGGUCUCCAGGAUCACGCCCUGGGCAGAAGGCAGGUGCCAAACCCCUGAGUCACCCAGGGAUCCCCUCAUUAGCCUAUUCUUGAUUGCUAGAGUCGGUGUCAUCUUUCCUGGUACUACCUGGAUAGUAGUUACCAUAUUCUCACUCCUCACUGUGUGUUGGGCUCUGUGCUGAGCGCUUCACAUACAGCGUCUCAUUCAGUCUUCCUAAAGACCCUGUGAGGCAGGUAUGAUUGGGCUCAUCUUACAGGUAAAGAAGUGAGGACUCGGAGUGAAGGGAUCUUGCCAUCAGGGCUGGGGCAUCGCACCCUCCACCGGGCACCGUUCACAUAGUUGUCUGCAUAGUUCACAUGGUGGCCCUACUGGAGGUGGCAGUCGGAGGGGUAGCAGAGUUGGGAUUCCGGACUCCCAACUCUCAGCACUUCAUUUUAUAUGACUUCAUUAUAACUUCCACUUGUCUAAGCUCCUUUAUUUCUUCUAUCUCGAUCUCUGUAUCCUAGUGUCAAUCCAUCCAGUCACCUCUUCAUCCAUCUAUCUAUCCAUCCAGCCAGCCAGCCAGCCAUCUAUCCCUGCCUCCUUCUCUCUACCACUCACCCAGUCAUCAUCUAUUUAGUCGAUCAGUAAAGUUGAAUCAAUAAUAAAGGUCCGAAUAUCCAGUUUCUUGAAAUACA